rnacentral:tRNA from 1 species
GGCCCAGUAGCUCAGCUGGAUAGAGCGGCCCCCUCCUAAGGGGCAGGUCAGAGGUUCGAAUCCUCUCUGGGUCACCA